UACGAAGGGGGCUAGCGUUGCUCGGAUUGACUGGGCGUAAAGGGCGCGUAGGCGGUUCGUACAGUCAGACGUGAAAUUCCUGGGCUCAACCUGGGGGCUGCGUUUGAUACGUGCGGACUUGAGUGCGGAAGAGGGUCGUGGAAUUCCCAGUGUAGAGGUGAAAUUCGUAGAUAUUGGGAGGAACACCGGUGGCGAAGGCGGUUCUCUGGGCCUUACCUGACGCUGAGGAGCGAAAGCGUGGGGAGCGAACAGG
rnacentral:rRNA from 1 species